GGCACAGUGGUGCAGUGGGUAGCAUUGUUGCCUCACAGCAAGAAGGUCCUUGGUUCAAAUCCCGGCCUGGGCCU
rnacentral:tRNA from 1 species